UCGGUUGACGGGAACGUUGCCAGCAUCCCUUGCUGAAUUGAGCAAUUUAAAAGAUUUCAGGAUAAUUGACAACAAUCUUAGUGGGUCCAUACCUAAUUUCAUAGAGAAUUGGAGACAACUCAAUAAACUAGAACUAAUUGGGAUGGGGCUUUCGGGACUGAUUCCUUCAUCCAUUUCUUUCUGAACUUAACUGACGUGAGAAUUUGUGAACUAAGUGGACCAACUCAGAGAUUCCCUCCGUUAGAUAAUGCUGUUGGUUUACUAACACUGUAUGUAGAAGGUUUUGUAUUUCAAAUUGUCGUUGUAAUCUAAUAUAUUUGUUUGUAUUUUAACGUGUAUAAAAUCAUAAUAUUUACGUCAAUGCUGAUAAUGAAG